rnacentral:sRNA from 1 species
AGAGGAAAAACGGCCAACAGCAGCCCCGCGGCCGGCCCGGCAGCGCCCGGCCCCCGGCUCAGCCCCCGGAGUGCGGAGCCGACCAGAGGGUAACGCUUCUUACAGGGGACGCUGUCUCAGCAGC